ACUUAAGGAAAUAUCAAUAGUAUUUUAAAAUCAUAAUUUUUAUUUACUAUUAUGUGUGUGCCUAUAGUGUGGGGUUAGGGAUGUGGACCUGCUAUGGUGUAGAUGAAGAUCGGAAGAUGAUUUGGGGGAUCCAUCCUCUCCUUCUACCUUAUUGUAGCAACAUCUUUCUUAUUUUUGUCUGUUGUGAUUUAUCCUAAAGACUAGUUGGACUGCAAGCUUCUGGGUAAUUUUUCUACAUCUUCUUCCAUCUUGCCAUAGAAGAGCUAGGAUUAUGGCUACUGGAUUAUGAGUUCCAGAGAUUGAGCUCAGGUCAGUAAGCUUGCCUGGCAAGUGCUUUUACCUACCUUGUCAGCCCUCCUUAUAGGUUUUAUGUGAUUAUAUAUCACAGAUACACUCUAAUAGAAGCAUACUGGUAUCCUGAUUAACUAUCUAGUUCCUUAGAAUACUGUGAAAUCAACUGGCAGCCUUUGGAGGCUUCCCCAUGAUGAUGUGUGAAUGGCUUGGCACUGAGGUUUCUAUAGCCAUGAGGGUUUCUGAGUAUGUUGGUGCUAUACCCUCUGAUGGACAGAGAAUAUUCCACUUGAGUAGACCUUUAGAGAUCUUAAGACAGCCUCCGGUAUCACCAGAGAAAGGCCCAGGACCAUUGUUGACAGUCUAUUAAAGGUUAUAUGGCUAAUAAUUAAUCUACCUCAUCUUUCAUUCUGCACCCAAAUUCUCCAAGAGCCUUGUGAAACUCUCUUGUAACUCUUCUUUACAUUAAAGUCUUCCCUGCUCCUCCUUCAAUGCCCCCAAACACUUUCUGGUCUAGAGGUCAGUUUGUACCACCCACCACCACCACCACAGCUCCCUGAAUAUGCCUUCAUGGUUUAACUGUGGCGUGGUAGCAUUCUGGAAAUAUCAAUGGAUAUUUUUCCUUCUGACAUGUUCCCUCUUCCUUUUCCUGCCCACUGUCUCCCAUUCCCACUCAGUGUCCCACCUCAUUCGGGCAAACCAUCUCUGGAUUCAUUGUGUUAAGAAAGGUCAGAAAAUAGAAAUUAUCUACAGGGUUAGUUUUAUAGCUUCUGAAGUUUCCACCAGUUAAAGAACUUACCCUAGAACUCAAAAGAGAGAGAUGGUGCUUUACAUAUAGAAAGAAGAAGGUAACACGUCUCUUGAGAAGGGGAAGCCCUCAUGUCAUUGUCAUCAGAGGAGGGCAGGAUCAGAAGGCCUGAAAUUCCUCCCCAGAUGAACAUCCAUAGCCAAGUCCUACUAGACUGUGAGGACAAUGAAGCUGUCUACUGCCUAUUGUGGGUAAGAGGGUUUCUUUCCACUAUUUGGGUGCUAUGGUUCUGUAAGAACCUAGAGAUGGAGAAAAACUCCACUGGAACCUGGAGGAAACUAUAAGACUUGUCCGAACCAUGCCUCAUUUGCAGAAACAUCUUGUGGCAAAGGCAACUGGAAAGCAUAAAGCUGAGGAAUGGUCCUGUUGAUCCCUGACUCUCUUUGACUUAGAUAUGGGAUAGAAAAACUUCACUACUGGAGACAACUACAUCAUCUCAGAUUUGGUACCUGAGGAAUCUACUUUCUCCAUUCAUUUCUCCCUUUCCUAGCUGAUUUCCCAUCUCUGAAGUUCUGAAACUGCCUCCAUUUGCUUGUCUUUUCUCAAAGAUCCCCAUCCUCUACUGAAGAUGCUAUAGAAACCAGACUCCUAAGUCAUUUAAAAUAUGUUCCCAUGUGAUUUCUCCUGUUCAAUGGGCAUCUCUUAAUAAGCAAUAAACUUGUUCUCCUUUCAUAAUCUGUCUUCUGUAACUAUCCCAAACCUGAAUUAAAUUUCCUGCUAUCUUGAUGAGAAUAGGGUUGUAGGUGUAGAAUAAUAGCUGUGUUCUUUAGUCUUAAGCAAGUAGGCCCUUGAUAUACUCUCAAGAGCCUAUGUUGGCAUGCUUUGUAUGACUUCUCUUAUAGACACUGGAGUAUGGAAUUGACAUAUGUCCCUGUGUGCUAGGAAUCCUAUUAACAAGAGCAUGAUGCCCAUGGAAAAAGAGCCAAGUUUCUCUUGGAAGCUGCCUAUUUAAUAUACAUGAUGCAUGACAGGGCAGCCAAGAGGCCAAGAUCUUUAGUUGGGGUUAAUAAUGGAGGCUGCUUUCAACUGCUUAGAACAAAUAUUGAAGAUAGACUCUGUACUGCUUGAUAUUAUCUAAAUGAUUUUCAGUUGUUUGCUUUCAUUUAUGCCCUUUCUUCUGCACUUUGUUUUUUCUACAAUUCCUCCCCUUCUUAUUUCAUUUUUGUAGAAUUGGUAUUGAACCCAAGACUUUAUAUAUGCCAGGCAUGCACUUUAUCAUCUGACCUCCAUCUCCAGCUCCUCCUCCUCAUUCUCUUCAUAUUUUCUUCCUCCUCUUCCUGGGGGUGAAUUGAACCAGCAGUCGGAUUCUGAACCACACAUGAGAGAGAGCAACUGCCCUCCUCUUUCUUUAAAUGGAUUAUAGCAACAGACAAGAAGUUCUGCCUCUAUUGGUCUAGAAAGCCCAAAGUCAUAGACAGGGCUACCCAUUACAAUUCUGUAUUAAAGAAAGACAGGGGAAAGAAAAGGAGGAGGAAAAAGAAGAGGAGAAUUUAAUCCUACUCCCUAGCUAUGCUUUUUUUUUUUACCAGAGCUCGUGUUUUAUCUGGUGUUCUAUUGUUUGUGAAAGCAGCACCUGGGAAAUGGGAAGCGCUGGUCAAGAUGGAAGCCUGGGCACAGGAGCUUACCAUCAUCUGCCAGUGACUCCAUCAACAAAAGACAAUGUUGAAGUGCAAAAGAAAUAACCUGUGAUGAUGAUCAAGUUGGAGAGGGAAUUCUCUUGUAUGUGGAAGACUUUGGCACAUUCUUUAAGGAUGUAAUCAGAUGGAGGUACAGAAUCCAGAUACAGGUGGCUAACUGCCUAUGAAAACACUUGCCACAUAAUAUUUCAGUGAUGGACAACAAGUAGUCAUGGGCAAUGAUGGCAGAGUAAUGAAUGCAAGAAGAAGCAGUAGAGUACGGUGUGCAAGGAACCCACUGAGGCAACUCUUCCUUCCUGGGUUAUAGGGAGUAAUUUUACGUAUUCAUCGAUGGCUAUGCUAAGCUGCUCUGAGCAGACCUCUGCUGUCUCCAGUAAGAACAAAACAAACACAACAAAUGGAAAUCUACUUGAAAAGAAAAAUUAUAACAAAGUCCAAAAUAGCUGCUUUUUUCCCUGAAGGUAAAUCCCAGAAGAUGGAACUCGUGCCUGGUGCUGUUAACUGAGGCAAAAAAAAACAAAAACAAAAACAAAAACAAAAAACCAGUGCUUGGUAUAUCAUGGGCUCUAGAAGAAAAUCUACUAAAAUCUACUACAAAUAUUCUACUAAUGAAGAUACUAUAAGUUGUCUCUACAUACUAAUUUUUCUACCCAUUGAUUAAUGUAGCUAUCAACCAUCAUCAAAGAAGCUUCUCUCUGCAGCAGAUGAUGAUUCACAACUGAUCAUUGUGUUAAGAAUAAGACUGUGGAGUUCUCAGCCUAAGUAGGAGACCUAUAGUACUCUCUGUCCCCCAAUUCUCAAGGAUCAUCAUGGAAGAGAGAGCAUAAAAACUGUAAGAUCCAGAGGUAGCAGAUGACUACAGUGAAACAGUAGCCUAAACGCCAGCAUGGAUGAGAAAGGGACUUUUUAAAUACUACUCCUAAUUGAGGAGCUAUUGGUGACUGGUGGGGAUAUGAGAAUCUAUUUUCUUCAUCUGUGACCCCUGACAUGCUGCCUGUGUUCCAGUGGAUGAGCCCUCACCUAGACGUAUACAGGCAACAGUAAGAAGACGUAGCAUGGGACUGACAUAGGCCCUCUGCAUCUGGGUGACAAUUGGAUAGCUUGGUCUUUUGUGGGACCCCCUAACAGUGGGAUCAGGACCUGUCCCCUGAUGCAUGAGCUGGCUCUUUGGAACCUAUUCCCUAUGGUGGGAUGCCUUGUUCAGCCUUGAUGAGGGUGAGGAGUUUGGUCCUGCCUCAGCUUGAUGUGCUAUGCUUUGUUAAUUCCUACGGGAAGCCUUACCCAAUCUAAGUGAAGACAAAGGAGGAGUGGGUGGGGGGAGGUGGUGGGAGGAAGCAGGAGUAGAGAAGGAAGGGGAAACCGGUUGGUAUGUAAAAUAAAUUUUUUAAAUGACAGGAAAAAAAAAGAAAACUCAGUAGGUUUAGAAAAAAAGGAGUACACAAAAUUGGGUUGAUCUUGUACAAGUCUCACUCAUUCAGUCCCAGCCGAUUCCAGUUCAUGUAUGCAACAGCCCUGUUAUGUCUGGAAAGCGCUGUUUGACUGUAGUCAUCCUCUCAUUCUUAUGAUCUUUCUGCUCCCUCAGCCUUGGGAAGAAGGGAGGUGAUAUAGAUGUUUCAUUCUAAGCCCUCCACAGUCCCAUUCUCUGCACUUUGACCAUUGUACUUCUCUAUACUUCUCCAUCUCCUACAAGAUAGAAGCUUCUCUACUGAGGGCUGACUGUUGUGCUAAUCUAUGGGCCUAAAGAAAAAUAUUUAGGAGGCAAUUUAGUAUUGUGUGCAUUUAGCAGAACAAUAUAGUAGGUUCUUCCCUAGGGCUUAUGAGCUAUCAAGUCAUGAGUUCUUGGCUCAGCUAAAAUACCAGGCAUGAGCUCUUAAAUCGAGCUUCUGGAAUGGACCUUAAAUCGAGUUUUUUAAAGUUGCUGGUAACUCUGACAAUAUUCAUGUCAUUAUUGCACUAAUGGGCAUAUCUUGCCAAAUCACUUGGUACUGAAGCUUGCAGUGUUCACAGCCGGGUAAGACUGUUGAUUACUUUCUUCCAUGGUAGUGAGCGUAGUACCCUCUGACACUGUGAAAGAUAGCCAGAAAGGAGGAAGCUUCCAGGUUUGUACCAACUGAAUUCUCCAUGUUCUGUCACUCAAAUAUGUGGGACUUACCACCAAGUUCUGGGAAUUAAUCAAGAUCAAUGACAAUAGUCUGUACUGUUUGAGGUCUAUCAAAUUCUGCUACCAACAAUUCAAGAAAAGGUAACCCACACUUGUCACUAGACUUUUGAUUUGAUAGCCUAUGACAUUUGGGAGUAGUAUUGUCUCCCCAUUAUAGGAUAAUUAAUUUUUAAACUAUAUAUGGAUUUUAGAGAGCUUCAAUAAUAGCUGGUUUCCAUAUUUUUCAAAGUUAUUUAAUGUUAGAUCAAUAGAAGCACAGAAACAAACCAAGUAAUGUUGAGAACAUGUUAAAUGACAGAAAUACAAGUGAAAGAGAAAAAAGAAAACUUAAAAUAACUAUAUAUUUGGAAAUCUUCAUAACAUAAGAAAAAUGUCAACUUUGCGGCACAUAAAAAUACAAAUCUAAAGUAAUUUUAAAACCAGACAAGAAAGCUAGGCAGUAGUGUCCCAUGCCUUUAAUCCCAGGACUCAUGAGGCAGAAGCAGGUGGAUCUCUGAGGUUGAAGUCAGCCUGGUCUAUAUAGUGAGUUCCAGGAUACCCACAGAUAC